rnacentral:rRNA from 1 species
GGAGCCGACCUUGAAAUACCACCCUUUAAUGUUUGAUGUUCUAACGUGGACCCGUGAUCCGGGUUGCGGACAGUGUCUGGUGGGUAGUUUGACUGGGGCGGUCUCCUCCUAAAGAGUAACGGAGGAGCACGAAGGUUGGCUAAUCCUGGUCGGACAUCAGGAGGUUAGUGCAAUGGCAUAAGCCAGCUUGACUGCGAGCGUGACGGCGCGAGCAGGUGCGAAAGCAGGUCAUAGUGAUCCGGUGGUUCUGAAUGGAAGGGCCAUCGCUCAACGGAUAAAAGGUACUCCGGGGAUAACAGGCUGAUACCGCCCAAGAGUUCAUAUCGACGGCGGUGUUUGGCACCUCGAUGUCGGCUCAUCACAUCCUGGGGCUGAAGUAGGUCCCAAGGGUAUGGCUGUUCGCCAUUUAAAGUGGUACGCGAGCUGGGUUUAGAACGUCGUGAGACAGUUCGGUCCCUAUCUGCCGUGGGCGCUGGAGAACUGAGGGGGGCUGCUCCUAGUACGAGAGGACCGGAGUGGACGCAUCACUGGUGUUCGGGUUGUCAUGCCAAUGGCACUGCCCGGUAGCUAAAUGCGGAAGAGAUAAGUGCUGAAAGCAUCUAAGCACGAAACUUGCCCCGAGA